GUUUUAGUAGCUUAAUUUAAAGUGCCAAAUUCUUACUUUGGUGAUGUUUGUAUAACUUAGGGCA
rnacentral:tRNA from 1 species